CGCUGGCGGUACGCCUAACACAUGCAAGUCGAACGCACCUUCGGGUGAGUGGCGAACGGGUGAGUAAUACAUGAGUAACCUUCCCUUAAGUCUGGGACAACUUUCUGAAGAGGGAGCUAAUACCGGAUAUUCUCUUUUUUUCGCAUGAGAUUUAGAGGAAAGUUUUUCGCUUAAGGAGGGGCUUAUGUCUGAUUAGCUAGUUGGUAGGGUAAAAGCCUACCAAGGCGAUGAUCAGUAGCUGGUCUGAGAGGAUGGACAGCCACACUGGAACUGAGACACGGUCCAGACUCCUGCGGGAGGCAGCAGUGGGGAAUAUUGCGCAAUGGGGGAAACCCUGACGCAGCGAUACCGCGUGAGUGAAGAAGUCUUUCGGGAUGUAAAGCUCUGUCAAGAGGGACGAUAAUGACGGUACCUCUGAAGGAGGCCCCGGCUAACUACGUGCCAGCAGCCGCGGUAAUACGUAGGGGGCAAGCGUUACCCGGAUUUAUUGGGCAUAAAGAGCGCGUAGGCGGUAAUUUAAGUCAGGUGUUAAAUGCUUAAGCUCAACUUAAGUUUGCACUUGAUACUGAGUUACCAGAGGUCAGUAGGGGAAAGCGGAACACAUGGUGUAGCGGUGAAAUGCGUAGAUAUCAUGUGGAACACCAGUUGCGAAGGCGGCUUUCUGGCCUGAUUCUGACGCUGAGGUGCGAAAGCGUGGGGAGCAAACGGGAUUAGAUACCCCGGUAGUCCACGCCGUAAACGGUGUUCACUAGGUGUAGGAGGUAUCGACCCCUUCUGUGCCACAGAUAAUUCGUUAAGUGAACCGCCUGGGAAGUACGACCGCAAGGUUAAAACUCAAAGGAAUUGACGGGGGCCCGCACAAGCAGUGGAGCAUGUGGUUUAAUUCGACGGUACACGAAGAACCUUACCAGGACUUGACAUCUGUAGAAUCCCUUGGAAACUUGGGAGUGCCCGCAAGGGAGCUACAAGACAGGUGGUGCAUGGCUGUCGUCAGCUCGUGUCGUGAGAUGUUGGGUUAAGUCCCGCAACGAGCGCAACCCUCAUUCUGUGUUGCCAGCACUUCGGGUGGGAACUCACGGAAGACUGCCUGUGUUAAGCAGGAGGAAGGCGAGGAUGACGUCAAGUCAUCAUGCCCCUUACGUCCUGGGCUACACACAUGCUACAAUGGUCGGUACAAAGGGUCGCGAUACCGCAAGGUGGAGCCAAUCUCAUAAAACCGGUCUCAGUACGGAUUGUAGUCUGCAACUCGACUACAUGAAGCUGGAAUUGCUAGUAAACGCAAAUCAGCUAUGUUGCGUUGAAUACGUUCUCGGGCCUUGUACACACCGCCCGUCACACCAUGAGAGUCAGAAACACCCGAAGCCAAUGUUCCAACCCGCAAGGGAGGAAGUUGUCGAAGGUGGGUUUGGCGAUUGGGGUGAAGUCGUAACAAGGUA
rnacentral:rRNA from 1 species